rnacentral:tRNA from 1 species
GGACGAUUAGCUCAGGAGCGCCUGCCUUACAAGCAGGAUGUCGGCAGUUCGAUCCUGUCAUCGUCCACCA